CAGUAGCGAGAGCUUGUGACCCGAGCGGGGGCAUCAAGGUGGUGGGACGUGGGCUCGAAUCCAUUGGGCCGGGUCUGCAGAGGCUUCUUUCUGGCCCGCCCGUUCCAAGCCGAGAGCUGAUUCAUGUGGUUCGGGCGAAGGCUCGGGCCACGUGUGUCCUAAAGUGGAGGGCACCACGUGAGGCUGGUUUCACAGAGCAGCGAAAACCUCCCGCUCCCGGCAGUGGAAGGAUAACGGGCCGGUGCUGAUCAGUACCCACCAUGGCCCAAUGGGCUGAGUCCUACUGGACCAUCACCUUUUUUCUUUUUCGUUUUCUUGGACCGACUUUGUGAAUCUUCUUCAAGUUGCAUGACUCGAAUUUUAUAUUUAAAUUGCCUUCGUAAAUCUCGGUUCUUUGUUCAACAUGAUUUUUUUUUUAAAAUUAAAACUGAUUUAUGACAUUGGCGUAUUAUAUAGAGAGGUGUAAGCUAAAUUUUAAAAAAAUGACCUUACCUUUACAUGAACACAUGGCGAAGAUUGGUUCUUUUCCAUGAUGCCAUCUACUAGUACAGCUAAGGAAGAAUCAACUGAACUAUUGCUGAUAAGAAUUGAAUUCGUGAUUUUAUUCAUGAUGGGAUUUGUUGUGUACAUUACACAGUGAGAAUGAAGUAUAUAGUCAAUGCAAAUUUCAAUGGGACCUUUUGUAUAGCUUCUAGAUCGCUCAUUAUAAUUCAAAGCCGAAAAUCCAUGGUGCAACAUUUUUCAUAAAUGAUGUUUACAUGAAACGUGAUUAAAUAAUAGACCCAUCAAAUGGGUGGGUUUGGUUGAAAAUAAUCUGAUCCAAAUUGACCUAUUUAUCAGUGAUACAAUUGCAGAGACUUGGAAUCGACCUAACUUAAACUUUGACCCAACCCAGGCUCCAUUCUUAGCAAUUUUUCUAAUUAAAUUGUUAAUUUGAAGUAGACACAUCAAACGUGUGGGUCGGGUUGGGUUGAAAAUGAUCCAACUCAUAUUGAUUCAUAUUUAUGUAGUGUAGAUUUAGUGAUUCAUACCCGAUCGACCCGUAUCUAAAUUGACUUGUAUUAUUAAAACCCAUUAAUAUUCUAAAAAAACACACACCCACUUUAAGCUCUAUGCUAAUUAGAUAAAACAUUCAAAUAAAACAAUUAAAUAAAAUAAAAAAUAUAAAAAACCUAUAAAUUGAAAUAUUUAAUAAAAAAUCCAUGGUGCAACAUUUUUCAUAAAUGAUGUUUACAUGAAACGUGAUUAAAUAAUAGACCCAUCAAAAUGGGUGGGUUUGGUUGAAAAUAAUCUGAUCUAAAUUGACCUAUUUAUCAGUGAUACAAUUGCAGAGACUUGGAAUCGACUUUGUCGCGACCAAUUUUUUCGGGGUAUGAACCACCUAGGGUUUUGCUAAUGGAUUGUUAAGCCUAGACUUAACUUGGGCUCUCCCAAGCCCAUACCAAUUCGCGACUUUCGGUUCAAGUUCUUAACAUGCAAUUGAUUUUCAAUUAGGAGUCGCCACUAAUCUAUUUUUGGUGGGUCGAUUAGAAACCCAAGUAAAGUAAUGGGAAAUUUACUUUACUCCUACAAACCAGAGAUUAUGGGUACGGGGACUUGGUUACACUAGAUUUCUCUAAUGCCCUUUCGGUACCUUUAUCUUUUAUUUUGAAAAAAUUGUUUGGCAAGCGACUUGAAUUGAUUUUAAUUCAUUAACAUGUGAGGUGACCAUGCAGGUGCGCAAACCAUUAAUUUAACACUCAAGAAAGCAAAUGAAUAAGUUGCAGGACUUACCUCAUAGUAACGAAAGCAUUGCGUUAUUAGUUUAGAAUUCACAUUAGCAGUCCUAAAUAUGAUUUCUAAUUAACACGCAAUUUUUGUUUUGUUUUCACUUAAUUAAUGAAAAUCAUGCAAUAUGCAAUGCAUGCCACUAAUUUAACAUGAAAUGAUAUGACAUAGCAACAUAACUUAGCUAUAUGACCUAAGCAAUAUGACAUAACUAAGCAUGUGAUCUAUCCUAAGCAUGAGAUGAUUUAUUCUAAAUAAUUUUUUUGUAUUUUCUAUGAGAUUCGAAAUUAAAAAAAUGCAACACUUAAAUAUGCAAUCUAAAUUAAUCUAAUGACCUAAUUCUAAUGACGGGCAAUUUCUAAUUGAAUGCAUCUAACAAAAAUCACUAAAUGACGUGCAUUGUAUGAAACUAAUUCUAUAUGACGUGAACAUGACUUUUUUUGUGUUUUUUUUUUAAUUAAUUUCGAAACUAAAGUUUUCACAUGCAAUUCAAAUAAUUAUAAAAACUAACAUCCUAAAUGAAUGUGCUUUUUCUUUUGGAUUUUUUUAUUUAAAAAUAAAAUUCUUAUUUUAAAUAUAAAAGAUAAUAGCCAAACCUAAUCUUAAUUCAACAUUUUUUGGAUUUUCUUGUUUAAAACUCGAAAUAAGAUUGCAAUUUUAACCCUAAAACAGCAAAUCUAAUCCUAACUCAAAUAUUUUUUUGGAUUUUUCUUUUACGAAAAUAAAACUGACUCAACCAACAGCAAAUCAAACAAGAUAAGAUUGAUAUCUAAAAAUUGACGAACCAUAUUUCGCGCAUGAGAUCGGGUUGGCCAAUUUUAAAUUAAAUCGCAAAUCAAAUUUCGGGCUUGAGAUUGGAUUGUCGAUUUUUAUAAGGGAUUGCGAGUCGGAUUUCGGGCGCGAAAAUCGGACUGUCAAUCCCUAGCUUGAGGGACUAUUUCAUAUUGGAAUAUCAGUCACAUAUUUAAGGAACAAUUCCACUAAAAACAAGAUAUAGGAGAAAAUAAAUAAAUAAAUAAAAGGACUACCUAAUCUUUUUUUUUUUUUUCUGCUUUCUUCGCUCACGGCUUGCUCGUGCGGCUUAUCUCUGGGCAGUGGAUUCUGAUCGUUGGAGGGCGUCACAAUCGGAGCUCCGGGCUGGCGAGGGGAAUCGGCGGCAAGCAGACUGGCGGGUAGAGGCGUCACAGCUGGAGCUGGGCAGAGGAGCAGGCCCUGGGACGGUGAUGCGAGCGCGGUUGGUUGUCACUCGGGCGUGUGGGAGCUCGGACCUGAUCUUGGCGUCAUGGGUCGGCAGCAAGUCGGGCUCUGAACGGGUGCGGUUCGGUGGCGUCGGGUUGCGCGGAUCGGGAACAGCGGGGCUCCGGUGUCGUCGUUCGGGCAGAGCUGCAGGAGACAGUGGCUGGCGAUGUCGCGGGCGUCGGCGGUGAACUCGCGGGUGCAGAGACGCAGCGGCGUCAGUUGCUGCAGGGACGGAGUCGCGCUGGCUGAGGCGCGGCGAGUGCCGGGCAGUCUGAGACCCGGUUGUCGGACUGCUGGCGUCGGGUUCGCAGAUCACGGUGGUGCUCGUGCGGAGGUGCGGUGGGCUUCGGAACGAGGCGGAUCUGGUGCGGCGUCGGUGGGGCGAGGCGGCAGCGUUGCUGCUCGGAGACCGUCGGCGCAGGAACCGACGGUACAGGAGUCGGAUGCACAGAACUUCUGGAGAAGAUAAACAGUAGGUCUUUUCUCUGAUUUCACCUGUCACUCUCUCUCUCACGACAAUGCUCUCUCUGACUUUUCCUUUUCCCUGCAGUUUGUCAGGAAAAAAGAAAAGAGAAAAAGCCUUCUUUUCGCUGAAGAUGGACGAGGAAGAAAACCUUUCUCUCUCUUUUUACUUGAUUUUUUUUUACGAAGAGAAGCCACCUUUGGUCAUCGUACACGGUUGCUUUUAUAGGGGGUAAGAGAUAAGCUUUCAAUUUCCCUUUCAAAUCUACAUCCGCGAUACAUUUUCACCAACUGAUCACUAUUGAUAAAAAUUUAAGAUUACGAUAAAUAUUUUCUCGAAAUCCAAAUCUCGCAAAGAUAAAUCGCAAUAUUUUUUCACACAUGUGCUUUUAUCCAAAAUAUUCAUAUCCCGGAAAAAUUUCAAAAUUUUUAUUUUUCACGAGAUAAUUAAAAAACAUGGGCUUGAGCCAACCAGCUCGCUUUGUGGGCUUAGUCCAACUAAUUUGAACCCGUUCGCACUGGUCCAAUAAAUAAAAUGCCAAUAACAAAAUAAAUGGAAAUAUAAAUCUAUAUGCUAUGCAAUUAAUAAAAUUAACCCCUAAUUUCCUAUGUAAUAAAUAAAUAAACUAAAUCGUCAAAAUUUAGGUGUCAACAGACCUAACUUAAACUUUGACCCAACCCAGGCUCCAUUCUUAGCAAUUUUUCUCAUUAAAUUGUUAAUUUCAAGUAGACACAUCAAAUGUGUGGGUCGGGUUGGGUUGAAAAUGAUCCGACUCAUAUUGAUCCAUAUUUAUGUAGUGUAGAUCAUAUCCGAUCGACCCAUAUCUAAAUUGACUUGUAUUGCUAAAACCCAUUAAUAUUCCAGAAAAACACACACCCACUUUAAGCUCUAUGCUAAUUAGAUACAAAAUUCAAAUAAAAAAAUAAAAUAAAAUAAAAAUAUAAAAAACCUAUAAAUUGAAAUAUUUAUAAAAAUCUUAGGGUGGAUAAAUCCAUUUUGCAACUUGGAUUUAAUGAGCCCAAUUUCAUGUGGGUAAUUAUUUUAUUUUUAAAUGGUUUACAAAUGAUUUAAGAAAAAAUACUCAAAAAAAUAGAUUAUUAGUAACCAAUAAUUUAACCAAUUUUUAGAAACCAACACUCACUCACGAUACCACCGCUCUCAGUGGUGCAGCUGGCUUGAACUCUCUCCCUCUCACGAAGGGGAAUAGUUCGAAUCCUAGAAGCGUUGUUAGGGAUUUUUACUUGGAGUACUGUGGUGGUGGAUCCUGCAGUCGCUCCCCCAGGGUUUGCUCACCGGCUGCCAACUUACGGGGUUUCUUGGGUUACAAAAAAAAAAAAAAAACACCCACUCACGAUGUGGUCUAAUUCUACGAACAUUUUGGAGGUCUUCAGGGAUCAAAUUGAUGUUCAUAAGAUCCUAUGAAAGCUAUUGUAUGCGAGUGCAUGAGAUUAGGGGCAAGCAUAAAGAAAAAGACCUUGAAUUCAAACACAAUACAUUAGGGGUGUGCAACUGGACUGGGUAUAUUGGGUUCCCGGACCGGCCCACACGGAAAAUAGGGUCAAGAACCGGUUCCCAAAAUUCGGAACUGGUUUAAACUGGUCCGGGAACAGGUUCCGAAAGCCGGUUCUUGGACUAGUUUUAGAACCAGUUUCUGGAUCGGUUUUGUAAGUAGAAGUCUAAAACCCCCUUUUUUUUUUCCCGAUUUCUAUUCUUACUCUCGCAAUCACACGACAUUUUUCUUCUUGACUCUUUCAAACACGCACAUCACUCUUCCUUUGUCAUUCCUCUUCCUCACUUGCUUCCCUCCCUCACCGGCUCCCUCUUGCACCGUCCAAUGGACGGAUGGUGUUUGCCGCCGCCAAUUUUUUUGUAUCACAUGGAUUGACUCACAUAAUUUCUCUUUUGUAGGAGGGGUUAUACUUGCAUAAAUGAGUAGUUUCAUGUAGUAGUUGUGGGAAUAAGACUAAUAUUAGACCCAUGUUUGUUGUUAAUUCUUUGCCUUAUGAUUUUAUUUAUUAUGAUUAGCAUUGCGGAUUCUUAAUUUUUCAUUUAGUCAAAAAGUUAAUGUAUUUAUUUAUUAUAAGUGCUUAAUGUUUCAAUACAAAUUAGGAGGAUUACGUUAUUUUCUCGCGUAUUAAUAUAAAAUUCAAAGUUGUAUAGGAUAUCGGGAGAUUGCAAAACAGGUUCCAGUGGAAACAGUGUUGACCGUGGAAUUGGAUCUAAAAAACAGGGUAGGUUAGGUAUACGGUCCAAUACAAAUAGGGUCGGGCAUAGGGUCCGGAUCUAGAUCCUAUCCACCCUGGACCCGAUCACCCCUACAAUUCAUGAUAUACGAUGCAACUAGAAAGUAUAACAGUAAAAAUGGAUCUCCAAUAUUUGAUGUCAUAUCUGUAUAUUCCAUUUUAAUGAAAUCUUGAACUUCUAAAACUAAAGCACAAUACAAAGCAGAAGAAAUCUAGAUUGGGGAGAAGCUACUUGCUCUGCUAUGCGAAAAGCAGAACACCGACAAUUACAAAGCUUUAACAUCGUAGGCGUUCGGCAGCAAAAUAGGAAAUCAAUCAAGACACGUUUCGGUUAUGUGCAUCAAAUCAAGUAAAACACAAAAACUCAAAACCCACAUUGGGUGCAAAACAGCACAAAAGUCCACUGAACAAGAAACCAAUGGAUUACCUCGAGAAAUUACCUAAGCUUCAAAUAGUGAAUGACACGCGGGGAGAGAAUAUUAGGGUUCGUAAGCAAGAGCUGGAAGGCCCGGAACCGCACUAGAGCUCGACAUUGGAUCAACAAGACUACAAGAACCGCGAACUAACGAAAUUCAGGGAGAUGACGACAACAGCAGGAUGAUGGAUGAGGGUCGAUCACACGCUCGUAGAGUCAGCUUUGACUACGCUGUUGAGGCAAAUAUCGAUGCCCACGAGCUAGAUUUUCAUGGAGUGAGGCCAAAGCUCAUCGACCUUUUGGGGAGCAGCAGAGGCGGCUCGGAGGCUAGUCACGGAGGCGGCUUGGAGGCAAGUGGCGGAGGCGAGCGGCAGAGGUGAGCGAAGGAGGCAAGUAGUUGAGGCAGGCAAGUAUAUGAGGAAACUUUGUGUUUUAGCCUUUUAGGUUACCUAUUUGAAUAACUUAAUGUCGAAAAUGCGUCAAAAAUGAGUAAGACGUUCCGACCCAUUUUCCACUGAUAUAAAUUCAGCUUAAAAUUUAAUGGACCCAUUUUAAGUGGGCAUCUAUAUUUCUAUAAUCCAAAUACAAUCCAUUAACACAAACUAUGAGUUGGAAAGUGAAUUUUAGACCAUUUUAUCACUCCUGCUUUGAAGAAUGAAUGACUCCGUGGACCAACUUAUCGAGUCAAUGGGGGUGCUCAAGCAUCAAGUUAUGGAUGAAAGCAUGAAAAUGUCGAUGAGACAAAGGCUAUUUCACAUUUAAUAAGACCUCUCUUGAUACUGUAAUGUCUCAUUGUAUUACUUUUAAGACAUUGCGGUUUUAGAUCAGGCGUUAUCAAAUUCAUGCACAAGACCACAAGACGAUGAUUCUAACAAAAUUAACUACAAAGGCGUCCAGUUACAGCUUUCAUUAAAUUUUCAGCAUGUCAUGCUGAAUUUGAAUGAAUUAUGCAAAGUAAUUUAGUCGUAGAUCUAAUGAAAACCUCUCUCGCUGCUUUCAACUUAAGCCCGUACCAUACCAACUACCGACCGUAGCAGUUCGACAAUGGAGGGUGAUGCCCUUCCAGAAAAUCGACGGUACCUUCCAAAGUAUAUUCCACAAGGCUCGUAGAACACGUUCACAAAUUUUCCUGCGUUUCCAUUAGUCAGGAUUUUGACAAGACCAUUGUAGUUAACGAGAUUUUUGUACUGCAAGCGAAGGUGGCGGGCAAGUAUAUGAGGAAACUUUAUGUUUUAGCUUUUUAUGUUACCUAUUCGGGUAACUUAAUGUCGAAAAUGCAUCAAAAAUGAGUCAGACGUUCCGACCCAUUUUUCACCAAUAUAAAUUCAGCUUAAAAUUUAAUGGACCCAUUUUAACUGGCUCUCUAUAUUUAUAUAAUCCACAUACAAUCCAUUAACACAAAUUAUGAGUCGGAAAGUGAAUUUUAGACCAUUUUACCACUCCUGCUUUGAAGAAUGAAUGACUUCGUGGACCAAACAUAUGAGUCAAUGGGGUGCUCAAGCAUCAAGUUAUGGAUGAAAGCAUGAAAAUGUCGAUAAGGCAAAGGGGCUAUUUAUCAUUUAAUAAGGCAUCUCUCGAUACUGUAAUGUCUCAUUGUAUUACUUUAGGACAUUAUAGUUUUCUAACAAAAUUAACUACAAAGGUGUCCAGUUACAGCUUUCGUUGAAUUUUCAGCAUGUCGCCUGUACUGUACCAACUACCGACCGUAGCAGUUCGACAAUGGAGGGUGAUGCCCUUCCAGAAAAUCGAUAGUACCUUCCAAAGUAUAUUCCACAACGCCCGUAGAACACGUUCACAGAUUUUCCUGUGUUUCCAUUAGUCAGGAUUUUGACAAGACCAUUGUAGUUAACGAGAUUUUUGUACUGCAAAAAGAACAGUAGCGUGUGAUAAGAUUGACAGAAACAAAUAAAGCAAAUUCCGUGCUGAUCGAUCAAGUACCAUCUCGAAAGAUGCCUUAUGAACCUUCAAAUGUUGGCAAUGGAUCACCCGUGGUGCGGUAAGCCCCAGCCGACGACUGUCAUUCAAAUUGGCAAACCCAUCAAGUAGUGAACAUAGCGCUGCUCGACGGUUUCCGCACAAGCUGAUGUCAUCAUUAAUUUGCAGAAGUGAAAGCUUACACCAUAAAGACUUGUCCAAAGGUUUUCGCUAUCGAAACAAUUUACAUACCUUCACUUGCAAGUAGCUUAAUGUCGUUUCACAACCAAAAAGAAGUCCGCUAGGAGGGCCAUCAUGCGAUUCAUCUAAAAAAUGGAUGCACUACCUCUUUUUCAAUUGUAGCUACUUGUCCACAGAAGAAGCUAAUAUUCAUACAAUCUACAAAUUGAAAAGAAAAGGGGAAACUAAUGGAGAAAAAUAACCAAAAAGGCACAGAAUUACUGAGGAUUGACAUACUUUAUGCACAAGGGCCGCAUCCAGAUUGCCCUAUAUUACAAGUAGACUUCCUCGAGACUCACAUAGGAGUCUCCUUUCGCAGUUUCAACUCUUCCUUCCCAUAAAUUCUCUGAAGCUCACGAGUUGCAGCUCGGUAAGAUUCUGGAAAACAGAAUAAUGAACUUAUCGGAAGGUACAAUUCGCCAAAACAACAAAAAUUCUUCAACUUGACAUAAAAACUCGUGGUGUCUUAAUGAGAAGUUUCCAUGGUAAAGUAUGGCAAAACUACCCAAUUCUUAAAAAAAGUCGAGAAAAAGCAAACUUGUAGUUAUUGAAUAGAGUGCCUCCAUCCUGAGAUUGUCAGGAAAGAUAAGGAGAAUAUUAUACAAGCGAGGGGGGAUACUCAUCUCAUCCAGGUAAAAGGUCGAACGUUAAUCUAUAAAAUUCAUCUGCUUAUCCACAUUACCAAUUCCAGAAUUUCUACAACAUAUCUCUAUGACCUGAACGGAAGCAAUAAUUUUCUCGACUUUACACCUGAUCAGUCCCAAAAAAUUAUCGUUCUGCUAGGCAAAAAACGGAUCGUUACAUAACACAUAGUGUGACAUCCCGAUUUUCCGAUUCUAUUUUCAAUAAAUUGGGACGGGCAUUUCGUUGGCACGCAUAUAGUUCUUUUCCUUGAGCCGGCCACUCAUGUGAAAACUAGUCUAUCGGGUAAAGCUGUUAAGAGUUUCUAAUGCAUCAGACUCGAGAAUUUGGCCAGGAAGCGACCUUUCGACCGAGCUAAUCUGCAAGGGUCAUUACGACACAAAUAAAAAUCGAUUAGAGACCGGAGAUAGGUCGACUUGACAGAGGAAUGUGAUCGAGUGUGGGUGAUUCCACCGGAUCGCACAAUUCUUGUCGAUCGGCACUGGACCGACUUUUCUAUCGAUUGGGUACCCUGUGUUCGUAUUUGAAACCUUGAGAUUACCCCGACAACCGAAAGUCGCCAAUGUUUCAAAGAUGUACAUUGUGGCUUGAGAUGAUCAACCACAGGUCAAAUGCGUGAAAAUUUCUAAAGGCUACCCGGUAGGUUGGGCCGCGCUAGUAUCGUGCCAAAGUGAAAUUAACCGUGGAAUUGAGAUCGAAUUCAGAAAUUGGAAGUCUGGGUGUGUCACAAAUCAUUUUAGGAUCAUUGACUUAUCUUUGGAAGAUUUUUCAUGCAAUUAGAGUUCUUUGACAAAUUAAAUCCAAGAAUGGCUAUUUUAGCUCGAGAAAUUAGUAGGCCGCAUUUGGUUGCGCUUUUGGGACUUAAGUUGGUUCUAUGGACAAGUGAGUAUGUGAAUUGAAGUGUGGUGACAUUGGAUUAAUUUUAUGGACUUCAAUUUGGACUCAAUUGGAAGUGGAUUGAUUAUAAUUGAAGAAUUUCAUGCACAAGAAUUGGACCCCGGCGGAAAAAUAAAAUGGACCCAUUGGAAGAUGUCGUGGAGGAUUGGGUGAGUGGAUUAUGAGGUCAUCCUAGGUCAUGGUGGGCCACCUUGAUUGGAUGAGGGAAAAAGAGAAAAAGAAAAGGGAAAAGAAAAUGAAAUGGCUCCCCUUCUCUCUCCUUCCUUCUCUCUCCCGUUGCCUCUCUUCUCCACUUCCAUGGUGCGAAGACCAGAAAAAUGCAGAGAAGAAGAAGCUGCAGCCAUGGCCGGCCACCCGCUCGCACAUCGUCGUCGCCACCGCCGCCGUGCGUCCGUCCCGCGCCGCCCGCGCGCACUCGCCGGCCUGCCGUCGCACCGUCUCCGCUCCGCCUCAGCCCGCGUCCCCAGCAGAUCUGAGGAGGCGUCGAAGCUGGAGCAGCCAUGGCCGUCCCUCCGCUCGCUCGCCGUCGCAGCCCCGCGAGCUGCUCCGCCCGGCCGUCCUCGUCGUCCCUGCUGUUCCGCGAGUCCAGCAGCGAUUCCAGAUCUGGGGAAGCUCAGCCGGAGCCGUCCAGCUCACCUCCGGCCACCGUGAGGCCCCGCCGUUGGCCGUGCGGCACCGCCGCAGCUCCUCCGCCCGUUUUCGACCCAAGCCGGCGCCGGAUCUGCCCUCUCUCAGCCUCAAACCGCCAUGGACAGCAGCUGCAGAAAAUGGGUAUGGCAGCCCCUUCUUGGCCCGUUUCGGCCGCCUUCCCGAGUCCGGAUGCUCGGCCCGCUUUGAGGAAAGUCGAUCCUCGCGUCGUCCUCGUCGUUUUGGUUCGCUCGGCUCGCUAAUCCGCUAAUCCGGUGAGUUUAACUCACUAAACCUCGCUUAGAGGGUUAAUGAUGCUUUAGGUGUGUUUAGUUUAUGUUAAGUGUUAUUAGGUGGUUAGUUUAAUUUAUUUAAGUGUAGAUUAUAUUAAUGUGCUUGAUUAACUUAAAUUGUGUUUAAUUUAAGGUUAAGUGAGUGUUUAUAUUAGUAUAAACCUUGAUGUGACAAAAAGGAAUUUACUUUUGAUUUAUUUAAAUAUCUCGAAAUUAUUGAAUAAUUAAAUAAUAUUUUAAUAUUCGAAAUUAUUAAAAUAUUAUUAUUUAAUUAUUUUUGGGAAUAAAUUUAAUUAUUUAUUAAAUUCCGAAAAUUUUGUCGAGACCUUAAAUUCUCAGAAUUUCGUGCCGGUCGUUGCGGUGUAGUCGGAUUUUGAAAUUGAUGAUUGGAUGUUAUAAAUUGAGCGUGGAAAGUGAAAUAUAUGGAUAUUAUUAUUUAAUUAUUUUUGGGAAUAAAUUUAACUAUUUAUUAAAUUCCGAAAAUUUUCACUGGGACCUUAUUUGCUCAGAAUUCCGUGCCGAUCGUUGCUGUGCAUUUAGAAUUUGAGAUUGAUGAUUGGUUGUGAUGAAUUGAGUGUGAUUGUGAUUUAUAGGGAUUCUUUAUGAAAUCCUAAGUGUAGAAACUGAUGGGAGAUUGGCUGUGAAAUACCACCUAUUAGAGGUCGUGCCCGAUGAGGCCGUUAUAUGCCACCUGAUAAAGGUCGCGCCCGAUGGGGCCGUUAUAUGCCACCUAUUAGAGGUCGCGCCCGAUGGGGCCGUGAUAUGCCACCUGUUAAAGGUCGCGCCGAGUGGGGCCGUGAUGCCACUGAUUCUAAUUUUGCCGAGUAUGCUUUGACUGUGUGAUAACUAAGAGGAAUCGUCCUGGGCUGCUGAGCCGGACUUGCCCCUAUAUGGGUUGCCCACGCGGUGGAUGCCGAUCGCAGUAGAGGCUGGGCCGACUGGAUCGAUGCUCCUUCGGGAAUGCCGUCGACGUAGUGACGAAGCCGUGCUCCAAGGGGGGAGACGAUGCUCCUUCGGGAAUGCCGUCGACGUACUGACGAAGCCGCGCUCCAUGGGGGGAGGCGAUGCCUGGCAUUAGUGUCAGUAGAUAGCCGAACUGCGAGUAGGCUAUGCCCUUGUGUGGCAGUGAAUAACAAUUGGAAUGCAUGUUGAGUGUUGUUGAUGUGUCGGAUUAUGGGACGGAAUUGUGUGGCAUGGAAUGGGACGUGUCAUAACGAUUUAGUCUUAUAAUCAGGACCCCCGCGGUUGUUGGAUAUAUGAAAGUGAAUACGUUCCGAUUGUUUAAGUUCCUCUUACUAUCUGUGAUUGAGUGAUUUGAAUUGCGCUAACCUGCAGGAAGGAACUGAGGCGAGGUAAGUCUUCUGUGUGAUGUGGCUAGGCCACCUUUGGGCGUAUUUUCUUUCUAAUAGGGGUUUAGGGGGUUGAACUUGCUGAGACGUUGUCUUAGUGGUUAUUGAAUAACCAUUUCAGGUCCCUGGUGGACGGAGCGGCCGGAUAGCUUUGGUUGGCCUUGAGGAGUUGCAGAAGUGAAGUCAUAAGAUUGGAGAACGUGUCCGACCUGUAGGUCGUAGGACAAUUCAUUUUUAAGAGCCGGCCUUUUGUAGACUUUUGGCCGUAGACCUCUGUUUGUAAUUCUGAUGAAUUAUGGAAGCGUUAUGUUGUGGUUUUGAUUCCUGCUUUUCUAUCCCGUAGUUUAUUGUCAGGGGAUUUGUUUCGCUUCCGCAUGCGUAAUAAAAUAAAUGGGUCGGCGACAUAUCCUGGGAUGUCGCAUUUUUGGUCGACCGUAGUGGGAUGUGCGCGCGCUCGGGGUUCGGGGCGUGACACAUAGUAUAGGAGACGUAAGGAAGAAAGGAGUUGUUCCACAAUUUCUGACAUGAAAAUAACAUGCAAAUCCUCAUAUAUAAUACGUAGGGUUGAAGGACAUUUUGCAGUAAUAAAUAUAGAUCAAAGGAUUCCUUUUUUUUUUUUGGGGUCAGAAUCAAAGGAUUCCUUGAACAUGUGUCAGGAGGUGAUUUUAUUAUUUCUUGACCUUGUUCGUAAAUGCUCUCCAUAUAUAAGUAAAACUCCUGAUUUCUUGAAUGAUUAACGAUUAGAGAUAUCUAGCAGAUGCACAAUCACCUUUUAGUCUGAGUUCGAGAUGCACGGAUUUAUUUGCACAUCCACAUUAUCAAUACGCACACAAAUUCUUGGAUUCAUGUGUGAGUGUGCAUGCGUGUGCGUGUGCAUGCGUGUGUGGUGGGUUGGAGAGAGAGAGAUGAAUGAUCUUUCUCCAAUAGAUUGCAUAUAAUACUGAGAAAGAUAUCUAUUUUACCUUUCCAAAUGCGAAAAGAUUUCUGAUUAAUUGGUGCACCAAACACAGUCUGAAUUGUAUCAAACAGCAAGCUCUUAGGAGUGCUCCGUAGUUCUUGAACUAUUUGAUAGAUGGUCUUCCCAUUCUCAAAGUAUAUAAUGAUUGUUUGGAUGCUUUGUCUUGCAACCGGCAUGUCGCUCGAAUUCAUACGCAUUAAGCACCUUGGGUACCACCUUUUCUUCACAUCCAUCGUCACGCUCGCGUAGAGGAAAACCGGUAUGCGAUGGCCCUCAUCGUCGUGCGUCUCCUUGAGCUGGCGACACGGUCACGCUCUCGUGAUGUUCUGCGAUUCGUCGAAGGAAGCGGUCGAAGAAGCUCAGCUUGUCCCACAUCGCAAACACUCGCGGAUUAGAAAGAGUUAAUAAGCCCCGCGCACGUGAGAGAAAAUCGCCGAGCUCAGUAGCGAGAGCUUGUGACCCGAGCGGGGGCAUCAAGGUGGUGGGACAUGGGCUCGAAUCCUUUGGGCCGGGUCUGCAGAGGCUUCUUUCUGGCCCGCCCGUUCCAAGCCGAGAGCUGAUUCAUGUGGUUCGGGCGAAGGCUCGGGCCACGCGUGUCCUAAAGUGGAGGGCACCACGUGAGGCUGGUUUCACAGAGCAGCGGAAACCUCCCGCUCCCGGCAGUGGAAGGAUAACGGGCCGGUGCCGAUCAGAACCCACCAUGGCCCAAUGGGCCGAGUCCUACUGGACCACCACCUUUUUUCUUUUUCGGCCUUUUGGACUUAUUCUCUGAAUCUUCUUCUUUAAGUUGCAUAACUCGAAUUUUAUAUUUAAAUUGCCUUUGUAAAUCUAGGUUCUUCGUUCAACAUGAUUUUUUAUGAAAAAAAAUUAUUUAAAUCAAAACUGAUUCGAUUUGUAUGACAUCGGCGUAUUAUAUAGAGAGGUGUAAGCUAAAUUUUAAAAAAAUGACCUUACCUUUACAUGAACACGUGGCGACGAUCGGUUCUUUUCCAUGAUGCCAUCUACUAGUAUAGCUAAUGAAGACUCAACUGAACUAUUGUUGAUAGAAUUGAAUCCGUGAUUUUAUUCAUGAUGGGAUUUGUUGUGUACAUUACACAAUGAGAAUGAAGUAUAUAGUCAAUGCAAAUUUCAAUGGGACCUUUUGUAUAGCUUCUAGAUCGCUCAUUAUAAUUCAAAGCCGAAAAUCCAUGGUGCAACCCUUUUCAUAAAUGACGUUUUCAUGAAACGUGAUUAAAUAAUAAACUUAUCAAAUGGGUGGGUUUGGUUGAAAAUAAUUCGAUUCAAAUUGACCUAUUUAUUAGUAAUACAAUUGCAGAGACUUGAAAUCAACCCAACUUAAACUUGACCCAACCCAAGCUCCAUUCUUAGCAAUUUUUUUCAUUAAAUUGUUACUUUGAAGUAGACACAUCAAAUGUAUGGGUCGGGUUGAAAAUGAUCCAACUCCUAUUGAUCCAAUUUCAUGUAGUGUAGAUUUAGUGAUCCAUACUCGACCCGAUCAAUAUCCAAACUGACUCGUAUUGCUAAAAUCCAUUAAUAUUCUAGAAAAACACACACCCACUUUAAGCUCUAGAUAAAAACUUCAAAUAAAAAUAAAUAAAUAAAUAAAUAAAUAAAUAAAUAAAUAAAUAAAUAAUAGCAAACAAAUAAAAAAUAUAUAAAAAACCUAUAAAUUGAAAUAAAUGUUAAGCUCAAAUGUGUGGGUCAAGUCAGGUUGAAAAUGAUCCAACUUAUAUUGGCGCAUAUUCAUGUAGUGUAGAUUUAGUGAUCCAUACUCGAUCCGACCAGUACUCAAACUGACUCAUAUUGCUAAAAUUCAUUAAUAUUCUAGAAAAACACACACCAACUUUAAGCUCUAUGUUAAUUAGAUAAAAACUUCAAAUAAAAAAAAUAAUAGCAAAAAAAUAAAAAAAUAAAAAAAUAUAAAAAACCUAUAAAUUGAAAUAUUUAUAAAGAAUCUGACCAACAAAAUAUAUAUAUUUAUAAAAACCUUAGGGUGGAUAAAUCCAAUUUGAAACUUGGAUUUAAUGAGCCCAAUUUCAUGUGGGUAGUUAUUUUAUUUUUAAAUGGUUUACAAAUGAGUUAAGAAAAAAAAAAACUCAAAAAAAUAGAUUAUUAGUAACCAAUAAUUUAACCCAUUUUUAGAAACCAACGCCCGCUCACGAUGUGGUCUAAUUCUACGAACAUUUUGGAGGUCUUCAGGGAUCAAAUUGAUGUUCAUUCUUUACCAAAAAAAAAAAAAGUUGAUGUUCAUAAGAUCCUAUGAAAGCUAUUGUAUGCAAGUGCAUGAGAUUAGGGGCAAGCGCAAAGAAAAAGACCUUGGAUUCAAACAGAAUACAUGUGGAAUUAGAAUAAUACAUGAUAUACGAUGCGACUAGAAAGUAUAACAGUAAAAAUGGAUCUCCUAUAUUUGAUGUCAUAUCUUUAUAUUCCAUUUUAAUGAAAUCUUGAACUUCUAAAACUAAGCACAAUACAAAGCAGAAGAAAUCUAGAUUGGGGAGAAGCUACUUGCUCUGCUAUGCGAAAAGCAGAACACCAACAAUUACAAAGCUUUAACAUCGUAGGCGUUCGGCAGCAAAAUAGGAAAUCAAUCAAGACAGGUUUCACUUAUGUGCAUCAAAUCAAGUAAAACACAAAAAAUCGAAACCCACAUUGGGUGCAAAACAGCACAAAAGUCCACUGAACAAGAAACCGAUGGAUUACCUAAGCUUCAAAGAGUGAAUGACACGCGGGGAGAGAAUAUUAGGGUUCGUAAGCAAGAGCUGGAAGGCCCGGAAUCGCACUAGAGCUCGACAUUGGAUCAACAAGACUCUACAAGAACCGCGAACUAACGAAAUUCAGGGAGAUGACGACGACAACGGGAUGAUGGAUAAGGGUCGAUCACACGCUCGUAGAGUCAGCUUUGACUAAGCUGUUGAGGCAAACAUCGAUGCCCAGGAGCUAGACUUUCACGGAGUGAGGCCAAAGCUCAUCGACCUUUCGGGGAGCAGCAGAGGCGGCUCGGAGGCUAGUCGCGGAGGCAGUUUGGAGGCAAGUGGCGGAGGCAAGCGGCAAAGGCGAGUGAAGGAGGCAAGCAGUCGAGGCAGGCAAGUAUAUGAGGAAACUUUGCAUUUUAGCCUUUUAGGUUACCUAUUUGGGCAACUUAAUGUCGAAAAUGCGUUUAAAAUGAGUCAAACGUUCCGACCCAUUUUCUACCAAUAUAAAUUCAGCUUAAAAUUUAUUGGAUCCAUCUUAAUUACCCUUUUUACUGGGCCUCUAUAUUUUUAUAAUCCACGUACAAUCUAUUGACAUAAAAUAUGAGUCGGAAAGUCGAUUUUACACUCAUUUUAUUAAUCCUACUCUGAAAAAUGAAUGACUCCGUGGACCAACUUAUUGAGUCAAUGGGGUGCUCAGGCAUGUCAUGUGAAUAGAAUCUUUUUCGGGCCUUUACCUGAACCAAACGGGAACCCACGCCGUUGGCUACGAUCUGAUUGUGCAGGCAACAUUGAAAGCAAUCAAAUACCUGAAAACUCUCCCCGCCCCCCCAGUUCAUCAUGAAACGCACUCAUCCGUUUCCUACGCAUAACGAGUUGGAACACGAGAACGGAACCGAGUUAUAGAUAUAAGACCAAAAUCAAAAUGAGAGCGUAAAAGUCCACAGGAUGGGUGGCGUCUCCAGUCCAGAAUUAGACCUUGAAUAGCUGCUGCUGCUGCUCUCCUCCAAUAUAUACCACAGAGCUUCUUUGCUCAAAGCUUUUUCACUAGACAAAUUCUCACCCCGGCACCACCUUGUUUUCACAUCCAUCAUCACGCUCGCGUAGAGGAAAACCCGUAUGCGAUGGCCCUCAUCGUCGUGCAUCUCCUUGAGCUGGCGACACGGUCAAUCUCUCGUGAUGUUCUGCGCUUCGUCGAAGGAAGAAGCUCAGCUUGUCCCACAUCGCAAACAGCCGCGGAUUAAAAAGAGUUAAUAAGCCUCGCCCGCGUGAGAGGAGAUCGCCGAGCUCAGUAGCGAGAGCUUGUAACCCGAGCGGGGGCACUAAGGUGGUGGGACGUAAGCUCGAAUCCUUUGGGCUGGGUCUGCAGAGGCUUCUUUCUGGCCCGCCCGUUCCAAGCCGAGAGCUGAUUCAUGUGGUUCGGGCGAAUGCCCGGGCCACGUGUGUCCUAAAGCGGAGGGCACCACGUGAGGCUGGUUUCACAGAGCAGCGAAAACCUCCCGCUCCCGGCAGUGGAAGGAUAACGGGCCGGUGCCGAUCAGCACCCGCUGUGGUCCAACGGGCCGAGUCCUACUGGACCACCACCUUUUUCUUUUUCGGCUUUUUGGACUUAUUCUCAGAAUCUUCUUUAAGUUGCAUGACUCGAAUUUUAUAUUUAAAUUGCCUUUGUAAAUCUAGCUUCUUUGUUCAACAUGAUUUUUUAUAAAUAUAUAUAGAAUCUAUGAUUU
rnacentral:lncRNA from 1 species